AGUAGACUGGUCCAGGCACCCUCUGGACCACUGCCAGCAGACCAAGGGUCUUUUCCUGUUAGCUAGCCUCUCUGGAGUUGUGGGUUGCAGUCUGGCCAUCCUUUCCCUCACAUCUGGUAUCUACUUAUGAAACUUUCCAUGGAACAGUAGCAGAAUUCAUUUUUAUCAGCAGCCUGAGCAGUUACUUUUCAAGAUGGUUUUAUGCAAAGCAAAUCUUCUCAAAAACAAGGUAAUUGAAAUAAUUUUUAUUUUUAUAAGAUCACAGUAUAAAAAAUACAAAAAAGAACAAAAAUAAACUAUAGAAAAUAUGUAAACACAUGGAGGCUAGAAAACAAAACACUGAACAAUCAGUGAAAUGCUAAAGAAAUUGGGAGUGGAUUCCAAAGUUCUUAGACACAAAUGGUGGUAGGAAUAGAGCAUAACAUUCUUGAAAUGUAUGAAAAUAACAGAGCAUUGGAAUCUACAAAAAAUAAAGUGUUGCAAGAGGGAAGUCGAAGUCUAUUUGAUAUAAAGGUAUACAUUUAAAAAUUAGGGACUAGUAGAUGGUUCAGCAAGUAAAGGUACAUGCCAACAAGUCUGAAUUCAAAUCCUGGGAAACAUGGUAGAAUAAAGGCAUUGAACACUAGUAAACU